AGAGUUUGAUCCUGGCUCAGAACGAACGCUGGCGGCAGGCCUAACACAUGCAAGUCGAGCGAGGUAGCAAUACCUAGCGGCGGACGGGUGAGUAACGCGUGGGAACGUACCCUUUGGUUCGGAAUAGCCCCGGGAAACUGGGAGUAAUACCGGAUACGGUCGAGAGACGAAAGAUUUAUCGCCGAAGGAUCGGCCCGCGUUGGAUUAGGUAGUUGGUGGGGUAAUGGCCUACCAAGCCGACGAUCCAUAGCUGGUUUGAGAGGAUGAUCAGCCACACUGGGACUGAGACACGGCCCAGACUCCUACGGGAGGCAGCAGUGGGGAAUCUUAGACAAUGGGCGCAAGCCUGAUCUAGCCAUGCCGCGUGAUCGAUGAAGGCCUUAGGGUUGUAAAGAUCUUUCAGUGGGGAAGAUAAUGACUUACCCACAGAGAG
rnacentral:rRNA from 1 species